ensembl:lncRNA
GUUGUCUCUUCGUGUGCAGGACAAAUAAAAAUAAUUCAACUAGCAGACCUUCAGUUGUGGCAGCGUCCUAAUUAAAAGUACACAACGCAGAAUGAACCACGCUACACUAGCAGUCAUCAUCAUGAAUCAAGUCGACAACCUUCUGGCAAAUACCUUAUCAUAUGAAGAGAAAUUAUAGAUAAUAAUAAUAGAUCACUGACGUCAUCAUGAUUCAACCUUGUUUUUUCCCCCAGUUGUCUUGAAAGCACCAUAAAUCCAGAGACUUUGAUGACAAAGUUUGACGACAAAAUUUGCUCACAAAGGACUGCCGCGCCACCUUGCUGUUCAAGUGAACGCAGCGCAACAAGGUACCUUAGCCAAGGCUAAUAGUCCAUCGGCUGUGACUAUGAGAGAGAAUACCUCUGUCAAAGAGGUGCACCAGGCAGAGCAGCAGGAUCAUCUGGAGGUGUUUAGGAACCAGCAAAUCCCCCCCCUUCACAGAACAGUGAUGAAUGGACCUACAUGGUGUUUUCUGUACUCUCCGACACCACAGAACAUGACCGUCAUGUUCUCUUCAGGGGUGGAGGUAGGUGCGGGGGCGAGAGGGGCCACCAUGGCCCUUACCGUGCUGCUCCCCCAGACUACACCAACCUCACCAACCUCAGAUUACGUCUGACCCUUCAGAUGACCUGCUGACCAGUCUGGGAGAUGUCGUCUCCCCUGACAACCCCCGGCCCUGAGGAGAUAUUCUCAUUCGGAGCUGGCUGUGAGUCCAUGGGCCUCUCUGCAUUGAAACUAACAGUGCAUCUCAGUUAUCCAAAGCUCUUUCUCAAUUGCCC